rnacentral:rRNA from 1 species
UGGGGAAUAUUGCACAAUGGAGGGAACUCUGAUGCAGCGAUGCCGCGUGAGGGAAGAAGGUUUUCGGAUUGUAAACCUCUGUCUUUGGGGACGAAAAUGACGGUACCCAAGGAGGAAGCUCCGGCUAACUACGUGCC